ACGGGAGGCAGCAGUGGGGAAUAUUGCACAAUGGGCGAAAGCCUGAUGCAGCGACGCCGCGUGAGCGAAGAAGUAUUUCGGUAUGUAAAGCUCUAUCAGCAGGGAAGAAAAUGACAGUACCUGACUAAGAAGCCCCGGCUAACUACGUGCCAGCAGCCGCGGUAAUACGUAGGGGGCAAGCGUUAUCCGGAUUUACUGGGUGUAAAGGGUGCGUAGGUGGCAAGGCAAGUCAGAUGUGAAAGCCCGGGGCUCAACCCCGGUAUUGCAUUUGAAACUGUUUAGCUAGAGUGCAGGAGAGGUAAGUGGAAUUCCUAGUGUAGCGGUGAAAUGCGUAGAUAUUAGGAGGAACACCAGUGGCGAAGGCGGCUUACUGGACUGUAACUGACACUGAGGCACGAAAGCGUGGGGAGCAAACAGGAUUAGAUACCCUGGUA
rnacentral:rRNA from 1 species